rnacentral:lncRNA from 1 species
CAUACACACACACACACACACAAAAAUCAGAAGAAAAAAGAGGGAAAAAAAAGGGACAAACUCUUGCCAUUCUAUAUACUGAGAGGAUAUGGGGGGGAAACGGGAGGGGACGAAAGGCCGAAACGCAUUCGGGACCGAUACCGUCACAAAACCCCCCCACAUCCAACCCCUUUUUUUGACUCGGGCGACGCUACCGGCGCUCACCUGCUAUUGGUUCGCUUCGUGCCUCUGACGACACGCAAGGGGGAGGAGCUUUCUCGGCCUCCACCGCCACAGAGCAACAUCGUGCUCAAACAAGUUAUUGGCGAAAAAUGUCUUGAUUCUGUCAAGUUUGAUCAAGAAAUGAAAAGAAGGAAACAAUCCAAGUUAGACGCAUCUCGUGUUACAAGUGUUGCGCGUCUCACGCGGAUUAGCAUAAAUUGGGACCAGAAGGCGCCGGCACAGUUUGAAAAGAGUGACCGUCUUCAUGCUCGAUGUGAUGCUCAUCUCAACUUAUAAAAAGCAAAACGACAACGAAGACGACAGCAAGAAAAAGGAGGAAAAUGAUGGCAAAACGGAAGUCGUGUCGAGAGCGUGUCCGGUCGUCGCCGGGAGCUCAACAUCCUCCCCUCUCAACCGUCUCUGGCAGGAGCAGCAGGUGCAGGACCAAUCAACUUGACGUUAAGCAAAGAAACACAAGAAGGCCCGGCACUGUUGCUCCCUUUUCUUUUCUUUUUUUGCUACAGAAAAGUCCAGGAGGAUGUAAGGAAAUGGGGGGGACGGAAUACGAAUGGAAAGGAGAUGCGACGCAGCCGGUUUGAAAAACUUGGGUCAGUGAAGAAAACAAAGCGGGAAAAAAAAAAAGAGAAUCUUCAUCAUCUCCCCCCUCGUGACUAGACUGUUGCGCUGCCUCCCGAACUCUCGAAACGAGAAUUUUAAAUGGACUCUUUCAUCUCACAGAUAACCAAGUGCCAAGGAAGCACGGGCCGUUUGGUUUCAACCGAACGCGAGGAGGAGAGGAACAUACCAAAGGGCCAAAUUUUUUUCGAAAAAAACAAAAACAAAAAUAAAAUAAAAUACAAAAACAAAAAAAAGGAAAUAAAAAAUGAAGAUAUUCACUUUCGGUGCCUCGCAUUCAAAUUGUUUAACUCCCCACAACGAUAACAACAAGAGGUCGCGCUAUUUAAACAACGAACAUCGAAUACUCCAAUUAAAAUUGGAUCCAUUUCACAUUGAAUAAAAACUGAUUUAAAAAGAAAAAGAAAAAAACAGUAACCCAUGGCAACGUGCCCAAGAAAGUAAGCCCUCCCCGGUCCCAUAUGCAAUAGAAAAUUAGUCAACAGGGAUGAAAAUAUUUAAAACAAAAAAACAAAAACAAAAUAGGGCGCCAGUGGAGGGCAUCACAAGCAUCGCAGCCAACGGGCUGGCGUCAUAUUUUGCCUUUAACCUACGCGCUUCUUCUUUCUUCUCCACCUCCCCCGAACACAUCUUCUAGAAGAAGAGACUUUGUUUUGUUUUGUUUUUUUGGGGAGGGGGCAGGGUACCCGGUGUCAAACAGCCAGCAGCCGGGGCAAUGGGGGAGGUGGACGUCGUCAUUUCCACAAACCCUCCCCAGCUGAGAGAGAGAGAGCCUGUCCCGGGUUCGUUCGCCACCGCACCGAUCCUCCUCUCCAAGGUUUGCGGGGGAUUUAAAAAAAAAAAAAAAAAAAUCCUUCCUCCCCCCUGACUGCUAGACGUUGUACUACUAGUGCGUACGUGGUGUGAUGCCAAGACGCGGGCGCGCUGCCUGUCCAAAUAUGGAAGCGAUGCCUUGGCGUCGUGGGGCGUCUUCUUCUCCCCCUUGUUCCACUCACACAGCGCCGAGCAACAGGCAACAUAUCACUCCCCUUCUCCUUUUGGCUGUCGCGUUUCCCUCUUUCCUAACCUUUUCAAAGUGCGUGUGACCCAAACCUACGAAAAGGCAGCGAAAUAAAAAAUUAAAAGAAGCAGCGGCAGCAGCUGAGCUUCUCAAUUUGCAGUCUCUAUGGCGCAGGGGAACAGUUGGCACGCGUCCGUGACGAAAGAUGUGCGUCUAGGAGCACGUGGUCUAAAGAAAAGGGGGAACCUUAAAGAAGAACUGCUGCUCUGUAUACAUACGCUGGCAAGCAGAUGGACUUGAAAAAGAGCGAGUCGGGGCGUCAAUUGACGAACAAGCAAAGCGAUUUUUCUCUUAUUUCUUCCCUCCGUCCGAUUUCCAGUCGGCGAAGAACAGAAAACAAAACAAAAACGCCAGCAGUAUGUUCAUCGAUAAGUUUUUUUUUGACUUACUUACUAGCAACGCACUCACUCUCGGCCUUUUUUUUAUAUUUUUGUUCGUGUAAAUACAACAACACACGCAUA